rnacentral:lncRNA from 1 species
CAGAGGUCAAACUUCAUCAGCAAGCCAAAAUGUUGUUGAUCAGACUCCUCCUAGGCAGACUACAAGGAAUGAAGAGGUCAUAGCUCAACAUAAUCUACCAAAGUCAACUAGAACAGUGAAGAAUCAUCCUCCUCAGUUGAUCAUUGGAGAUAAAUCAGCUGGAAUCAAGACAAGGAAAGCUCAAGCCAACAUUUGUGCUUAUGCUGCCUUCAUAGCUCAAGAGGAAC